AACCUUACCAGGUCUUGACAUACUCGUGCUAUUCCUAGAGAUAGGAGGUUCCUUCGGGACACGGGAUACAGGUGGUGCAUGGUUGUCGUCAGCUCGUGUCGUGAGAUGUUGGGUUAACGUCCGCAACGAGCGCAACCCCUAUUGUUAGUUGCCAUCAUUAAGUUGGGCACUCUAACGAGACUGCCGGUGAUAAACCGGAGGAAGGUGGGGAUGACGUCAAAUCAUCAUGCCCCUUAUGACCUGGGCUACACACGUGCUACAAUGGAUGGUACAACGAGUCGCGAGACAGUGAUGUUUAGCUAAUCUCUUAAAACCAUUCUCAGUUCGGAUUGUAGGCUGCAACUCGCCUACAUGAAGUCGGAAUCGCUAGUAAUCGCGGAUCAGCACGCCGCGGUGAAUACGUUCCCGGGCCUUGUACACACCGCCCGUCACACCACGGGAGUUGGGAGUACCCGAAGUAGGUUGCCUAACCGCAAGGAGGGCGCUUCCUAAGGUAAGACCGAUGACUGGGGUGAAGUCGUAACAAGGUAGGCGUAGCGAG
rnacentral:rRNA from 1 species